GACGAACGCUGGCGGCGUGCUUAACACAUGCAAGUCGAACGGAAAGGCCCUGCUUUUGUGGGGUGCUCGAGUGGUGAACGGGUGAGUAACACGUGAGUAACCUGCCCUUGACUUUGGGAUAACUUCAGGAAACUGGGGCUAAUACCGGAUAGGAGCUCCUGCUGCAUGGGGGGGGUUGGAAAGUUUCGGCGGUUGGGGAUGGACUCGCGGCUUAUCAGCUUGUUGGUGGGGUAGUGGCUUACCAAGGCUUUGACGGGUAGCCGGCCUGAGAGGGUGACCGGCCACAUUGGGACUGAGAUACGGCCCAGACUCCUACGGGAGGCAGCAGUGGGGAAUAUUGCACAAUGGGCGGAAGCCUGAUGCAGCAACGCCGCGUGCGGGAUGACGGCCUUCGGGUUGUAAACCGCUUUCGCCUGUGACGAAGCGUGAGUGACGGUAAUGGGUAAAGAAGCACCGGCUAACUACGUG
rnacentral:rRNA from 1 species